rnacentral:tRNA from 2 species
GGAGGAUUACCCAAGUGGCUGAAGGGAACGGUCUUGAAAACCGUCAGAUGUGUAAAAGCAUGCGAGAGUUCGAAUCUCUCAUCCUCCU